rnacentral:lncRNA from 1 species
AAGCGCGAAUCAACCUACCGAUUCCGGCGGUCUGGCUCCGAUCAAAAGACGGGCGAGGCAGGGGCGGCGAAGGUCGGAGUCGGUGCCCUCUGCCGCCGUCGGACGAGAGGAGGGGUAGUAAUUUUGACAGGGAAGGUGUUUUUUUUUCUCUCUUGCAGGAAGGGAAAAGGUGUUUUGGGGGGAGCAUUUCGCACGGGAGUGAUCGACCAAAACCUGGCCAGGGCCCGUG